GCCCAGUGAUGAGACCAAGGCGAAUACGAGCUUACUGAAUGAGAGUUGGGCUCCUCUUUGCCGUGACUGGCAGGUAAUCUUGGCAGUGCAGAGGAGCUUUCCUGCUCUGCUGUAAGGGCCUGCCUACAGUGACUUGGCUCAGCCUAAAUUAUUCCUCUACAGUCACAGCGGAGUAGUUGCUGGGAUGAUGCUGACAGUGUGUUGUGUGUCUGUUGUGUGUGUUGUGUGCUAGAGGCAAGGAGUUCACCCAUCUCUCAUUACUAUUCAGUUAGCAAUGAGUUGCUUCUUUGGUAAUCUGAGGGCC